rnacentral:lncRNA from 1 species
UAGGUUGAAUGUCUCGUGCACUAUUUGAUAUGGAGCACAAAUUUGGUGAAGAUCAGCUUCACAUCUAAUUCACGAGGAUGGAAAGAUGUAUUUUUUAGGUACAUAAUAAUAGAUACAGAGCACAUUAGCUAUACUAUUUUUUAAGUUUAGAUGUAAUUAUAUUUGGUGGAUCAUUUUUAUUUGUGUUUUGAUGAAAUAUUUUGGAUUCAAUGUUAUAUUGACAUGUCCUA